rnacentral:tRNA from 1 species
GGAGGAAUACCCAAGAGGCUGAAGGGGCGGGCUUGGAAAGCUCGUAGACUGGUAACUCGGUGCGAGGGUUCAAAUCCCUCUUCCUCCGCCA